rnacentral:lncRNA from 10 species
CUAAGAAAGGUAGUUCAGGCAGAGUUCAGGGAAGAUAUCUCUGUGCAGGGCCAGACAUGGGGAUGAGAUUCUGAUAAUUUGGGAAUGAAUCAGGCCCCCAGCCCCUCCUCCCUCAGACUCAGCAGUCCAGGCACCCGGCCCUCCUCCCUCGGACCCAGAAGUCCAUGCUCCCAGCCCCUCCUCCCUUGGACCCAGGAGUCCAGGCCCCCAGCCCCUCCUCCCUCAGACCCAGGAGUCCAGGCCCCCAGCCGCCUUCUCCUGCAGGACCCCAGGAGCUUGGGUACCCACAGGCUACUAGAUCCUUGUUUCUGUGCAUGGAAAUUCUCAAAUUAUCUCCAAAAGUCUAUGAAGAAGGUAAACACACAUUUCCAGAUGAGGGAAUAGGCUGAUAUAGUUGAAAGACACACAGAGGGUCACAGUCUGGAAUUGACAGUGGUGGGAUUCGAACCUAUUUCACUCCAGAACUGCGUAGCGCCUUAUACGCUGCGGCAAGUGUGACGUCAUUCGAACAAACCAUAGGCCCCGCCCCCGGACUAGCCACGCCCACAGGCUCCUGAAACCACCAAUCCCAGCUGUGACAGCGCUCAGGACCGAUGCUCAUAGGUCCCGUCCCUAGGAUCCCCGCCCCCUCCGCCCGCGCCCCGCCCCUCGCAGCCCAGUUCCGGACGCGGGCCCAGCCGCGCCUGCGCCUCCGCUCGCCUGUGGCUGCGUCGCGCGCUCUUCCUCGGAGCUACCCAGGCGGCUGGUGUGCAGCAAGCUCCGCGCCGACCCCUGACGCCUGACGCCU